CUGCUUGAAUUCAUCAUCUUCCAAUUUUAUGCUGAAAGGGGUUGUGAUACAAUCAGGACCAGUUUUCUCAAUAACAUCAACACCAAUAAUGGACAAUCUCAAAGGAAGAAAAUCAAAUGAUGAAAAGCCAUUUUAUUCCUUUGAAGUUCUGUAUGCAAUUAAAGAAAAGAACUUGAUUUGGGAUGACGAUACACCAUGAUUCUCGUCAGCUUGCAAAAUUGGGUAACAAUCGUUGCUCAUCUUCAGCACAGUUGAACUCAGUGUUGGAUCGUAGGUAGCCGGAUUAAACUGAAAUCCGCCCACAAAGACGCCAGUAGGCUCCAGGAUGAAAAAGGGAUUUCUCGAACACCCAGAUAUCACGGACAAGGACCUCCUUUGUUUUAUCUCCAGCAACAGUAAUGCCUUUUGAAUCAUAAGCUUCAAACUUCUGCUUUGUUAGAAGCUCAAGGGUUAGCUGUAUGAAAACUUUAUUGAGGUCUUUUCGAUCAACACCUAUCAGUCGAGCUCGCAAUGUUCGUAUCUUAACCACUGGUUCAAUCAUUUCCCAACAAACUUUAUUCCACAUGGACUCUCUUUGCUUAAUUUCAUUCUUGAGUUCAGAGUACAUUUUUUCUGUAACCAUUUUCCUCAAUGAAUUUUUGUCACCAUUUGCGAUUAGAGUGCUUAUCUCCUUGUACAAGUCAAUGGCCUCUUUGUAGAACUCAUGUUUCGAGUAUCCAGAUUUUCUUAACUUGGAAAUGGCAUAAGCACUUUUCAUCU
rnacentral:misc_RNA from 1 species